GCGUCGGUGGCGGAGUGGUCAAUCGCACUAGACUGUAAAUCUGGCGCCUUCGGGCUUCGAAGGUUCGAAUCCUUCCCGGCGCA
rfam:Parcubacteria bacterium C7867-003 C7867_00191, whole genome shotgun sequence.